AUGGAGGCGUGGGAGAUCGCCCAUACACGAAAGAAGCCCAAGCCUGGCGAGGCCAAGUACUACGGCAAGACCGCGGAGUAUAAGAAGGCCUACUCUGAGGGGUAUCUGAGUUUACAUCCUGACACACCUGACCCCAUUGCGACGGAUCUGGACGAGAGGGUGGUGGUGAGCAUGGGGAAGAAGCACGGUCGGUCGCCGUUUCUGGAUGCUGUGAUCACUCCUUCUAUCUCCUACACACAGCUCCGAGCUACCAACCCGAGCCUGUGCCAGCGCACGAGCACGUCCAUGACCAGUGCGCAGUCACAGUCCCUCAUUGCUGAGCGGAACUCUGCCUACUUGGAGUACACACGCCAGGAGACCAUGACGUGGCACGAGAGCCUUCAUGCAUACCAUCAGCAGAGGGAUCGCACGUUGCAACACUUCCUUGAGGAAAUGGCGGCCGGCAGGGUUCCUCAAUUGCAACCAGCACCAUCUCCUCCACCACAACCAGUGCUUCUUACUUUUGAGGAGUUUCUGACACAGAACCCUGGCCCCUCGCCGGUUAGUACAUCUCAAACUAUUCACCCAAAGCAUACUGUUUAUUCAACACAAUCAUAUAUCCCCUUAACAUGUCUUUUUAACAUCCAGGGAACUGGUGGAUCUACCGUUGGUGGUGGUGCUGGUCUUGGCAUCACUCCCGAGUCAUGGAGCCCGGUCACUCCUAUCCACGGAGGCGGCGGCGGUCUUGGCGGUAGCGCUGCCGCUAGCAGUGAUGACCUAGGCUUCAGCGGACUUGGCGGUGAUGACCUUGGCGGUGGUGGUGGAUGUCCUAGCGCUUAA
rnacentral:rRNA from 1 species